CAGCCGCCACGGUAAUACGUAGGGUGCGAGCGUUAAUCGGAAUUACUGGGCGUAAAGCGUGCGUAGGCGGCUUUUUAAGUCGGAUGUGAAAUCCCUGAGCUUAACUUAGGAAUUGCAUUCGAUACUGGGAAGCUAGAGUAUGGGAGAGGAUGGUAGAAUUCCAGGUGUAGCGGUGAAAUGCGUAGAGAUCUGGAGGAAUACCGAUGGCGAAGGCAGCCAUCUGGCCUAAUACUGACGCUGAGGUACGAAAGCAUGGGGAGCAAACAGGAUUAGAUACCCCCGUAGUCCCUGUCUCUUAUAC
rnacentral:rRNA from 1 species